rnacentral:rRNA from 1 species
UACGUAGGGUGCGAGCGUUAAUCGGAAUUACUGGGCGUAAAGCGUGCGCAGGCGGCUUACUAAGUCAGGUGUGAAAGCCCCGAGCUUAACUUGGGAAUGGCGCUUGUGACUGGUAGGCUGGAGUGUGGCAGAGGGAGGUGGAAUUCCACGUGUAGCAGUGAAAUGCGUAGAGAUGUGGAGGAACACCGAUGGCGAAGGCAGCCUCCUGGGCCAGCACUGACGCUCAUGCACGAAAGCGUGGGGAGCAAACAGG